CCCCGACACCCCAAUCUUCACCCCCUUUUCCUGACAACACUUCACGCUGCCCCCUACCCCCCUUACAAUACGCACAUUAUUUUUAACUCUUGACAAACUCGGUGAGAAUCACACUUUUGACACUCCAGGUUUGGGGCGGCAGGGGAAGGAAGGCUCAUGCAGUGUUGCAGUCUUUUGUAUAUUUUUUAGUUUGGGACGUCAUUGUGUGAAAGAUUUAAAAAUGAAUUAACAAUUGGAUGGAACUGUGCCUACAAGCUGUGACAACCUUAACCCGGUAGCAGCGGGGAUCAUGUUUCUUAAAGGCCCCUCUAAGCGAGAAAAAUGAGAAAAAAAAUCAUCACUCACACAAACCAUUUCAUAAUAUAUAUCAAAGCAUUUGUGAUCAGUUUAUGCAUCAUCUAUAUUGGGGGGUUUAUAUCAUGGCAAAAAUUUGGCCCGUCACUGGUACACGGUAAAGCCACAAAUUUGGCCCGUCGCUGCUACCGGGUUAAGCCAUUGUUGUUGAUGUGAAGCUUGAGGCCACACUUACGGGUUGGACGGUGAGAGAGAGUAGCGCUUAGGCAGGACUUGUAAUGUAAGGUGUGUCUGCCAGCUCACAUGCCCCAGUCCAUUGUUAUGGCAUUCAUUUUUACUCAUGAUUUCAACUUUCAGACUGUAUUUUCCCUUAAUUUAUGUGAGGAGUGGCAAACACACUCAAACUGUAUUUUGUAAGUGUAUUAUGUACAGUUCUGGACAAAAGUACCAUUCUACUGUAUUGUAAACUGUUGUGACAGUAGAUCUUUUCCACUUGGCAGGUUAUUCUCCUCCCCUGCCGAUAGACUGUAUUGGCUAUCAGUUCACAACAGGGAUGCUUCACCCUUUGUUUACCAGCUUUUUACAUUUGUUUACUGAUGCACCAUGUGUGUAAAGCACUUAUUUUAAGACCAGAUGUCAAAAUAACCACACCUUCAGAAAUAAUACCCAUCUAACAGCAAAAUACAGCCAUGGGUUACUCCCAACCUCAAGUUCAAUUCACCAUGGGAGUGUUCAUGAGGCAGAUACAGGCCCGCUUGCAUUCAGCACUCAGUAGCCCGGCACCAUGAUAGACGCAAACCUUAAAACCUGCAAACAUUGGGUAAAAUAUGUUUUCCCGACCAGCAGGUUCCGUGUUUGGACAUUUGGCACCAAACAACAUCUUGUAUUCCAGAAUCCCAAAUUAGAAAAAAAAAAAGUUCACUAUGAAAAGUACCUCUGACAGAUCUCUGGGUUUCUGCACAUGGCGCUGCGUGUGUAGCCAAUACCGUCUAUUCAUACCCACUCCCCUCCCUCUCUCUCUCCCUCCCUCAGCCUCCUGCACUCUCCUCCCUAGCUACUUCAUUCCUCUCUUCCCUCCCUCUCUCCCUCCCUCAGCCUCCUGCACUCUCCUCCCUAGCUAGUUCAUUCCUCUCUUCCCUCCCUCUCUCCCUUCCUCAGCUAACUUCACUCUCCUACCCACCAGGUCAUCCACACUUCUCCCCCUUUCCCAGCCUCCACUUUUCUCCCUUCCUCACUAACACUCUUCUCCCCCUGACUCCCCUCUCUCCGUUCUUUAGCUUAAACUCUCCUCCUACUCCACCUGUCUUGCCCACACUAAGGAUCUACUGCAUUGUAACAAGUUUAGAAGAUGGAUUGAUACUGUUGUCCUCAUCAGUACCGGUAACACACAUUAUAUACUUUUCAUUGUCAUGCAUCAUAUGUCUGUAUACUAAGAGGAUUUUAACUGGACUUUAUGCGCUAUUUUGUAUGUACUAUAGGGGUAUUUUUUUAAUUCCCCAGAUAAAUAUAUAUUAAGGUAUU